GCCUGGGUAGCUCAGGGGUAGAGCACCAACUUGGUAAGUUGGGGGUCAUGGGUUCAAAUCCCAUCUCAGGCUCAA
rnacentral:tRNA from 1 species